rnacentral:tRNA from 1 species
GCAGUAGUAGCCAAGCGGUGAAGGCAAGCCCAUUGAGGGUUGUACCGUGGGUUCGAAUCCCACCUACUGCACCA